UACGGAGGGUGCGAGCGUUGUCCGGAAUCAUUGGGCGUAAAGGGCGCGUAGGCGGUCAGCACAAGUCAGUUGUGAAAUCUCCGGGCUUAACCCGGAAAGGUCAACUGAUACUGUGCGACUAGAGUGCGGAAGGGGCAACUGGAAUUCUCGGUGUAGCGGUGAAAUGCGUAGAUAUCGAGAGGAACACCUGCGGCGAAGGCGGGUUGCUGGGCCGACACUGACGCUGAUGCGCGAAAGCCAGGGGAGCGAACGGG
rnacentral:rRNA from 1 species